rnacentral:rRNA from 1 species
AUACGGAGGGUGCAAGCGUUGUUCGGAAUCACUGGGCGUAAAGGGCGCGCAGGCGGUUUGGUAAGUCAGAUGUGAAAGCCCACGGCUCAACCGUGGAAGUGCAUUUGAAACUGCCAGACUUGAGUACCAGAGGGGAAAGUGGAAUUCCCGGUGUAGAGGUGAAAUUCGUAGAUAUCGGGAGGAAUACCGGUGGCGAAGGCGACUUUCUGGCUGGAUACUGACGCUGAGGCGCGAAAGCGUGGGGAGCGAACAGGAUUAGAAACCCUAGUAGUCC